UAUCAAGUAAUAGAAGAAAUUAUAAAACAGAAGUGGGGAGUGACAGGUUGCUUGCAGCUGGAAAAUUUGAGGUCAGGAUUUCAAAGUAGCAAAUACAUCAAAUGAAGUAAAUCAGGAAUCCAUGAUGUCUAUUUGGGAUGUCAAGACAAGCUUAGGAUCAGCUUUCUGAAUCCUGAAAUCCAAAAUGAGCAUUAAAACUUCUGUGUUUCAAGAUGGCAGAACACAGCAAUUAUGUGUUCUGGGAUUUCCUGCCCAGCUAGACUAGUCCCACAACCACUUCAGCUCUAAAUAAACACAGAAAUGCUAUAUUAAUUAUAAAACUGUUGACCAGUGGCUAGGGUUUCUUAUUGGCUAGCUCUGUCUUAAUUAUUAAGCCAUUACUAUUAAUCUAUGUAUUUCCACGUGGUCUUGGCUUACCAGAGAACUCCUGGUGUGUCCUCUCUUCCUGGGCUCGUGACUCCUGUCUGCCUAGACAUCCCAGAAUUCUCCUCCUCUGGUACUCCUGCCUAUCCUUCCUGCCUGUCCAUUAGCCACACAGUAUUUUAUUGAUCAACCAAUAAGAGAAACAUAUUCACAGAAGGACAACUCCAUCUGUUAUGGCUCAAGGCUCUGGUUGAAUCAGAUAGGGAUCUGACCCUGGAAUCUCCAAAAACUUUGCUUGAGUUCUGAUUGCUGCUUCCUGAAGGUCUGUGGACCUAUAAGAUUACCUCUGCAACAUACCUUUUAGAAAGCAUUAUGGCUGGAAUUUUAAAAUCAAUGAAAGUAUAAUCUUGUAAAUGGUUUUAUUUUAAAUUACAUUACAAUAUUAACACAGAAAAGCAAUAAAGAUUUCAAGGGACCUGUCAAAUUCCUUACAAUGCCCUCACCCACCAUGUCCCUUCAACUGUGUCUAUAUCUCCCUCUUCCAAGCAUAUCUGAGUGUUCCUUCUGCAAUGAAUGUGCUCUCAUUUAGAAACCAUUUUAUAAAAUUUACUUAUGAGAUUAACUGGAACCUGAAUCAAUUAUUUUUCUCAACUCCUGGUGUUGCAUAAAAAUGUAUUGUGUAAGGAAAUGAGUUUAUUUUUAAUCAUGAAAGCAGACGUUCCAACUCAGUGAAUGUAAUGGGAAAAACUAACAAUUUAUUUUUGUAGCUUUUUCCUCCAGAUUUUAAUAUCAAUAUAUUUAUCCUCAAUUUACCUCUGAUGCUAAAAACUUCUUAACAUUUGGCUUGUUCUUUAUGAGGGUUGUUUUUUUUUUUUUGAAAAGUAAGAUUUUUUUUUUUACUUUUUUACUUUUUUUAUAAUCUUGCUUUAUCUAUUGACUCCUGUAUUGUCUAUUAUUUUAUAAGUUUCAACUGAUUUCAAGUAAGUAUUUUAGGAGAUGAUAAUAACUGCUUUAUAUUUGCUGUUCUCAUUGAUCCACAUAUUAGUCAAAGUGUAAUAGAGAUUAUUGCAUCUAUUCUUCUCUAUACUCCCAUUUAGAAGUUGCAGAAUUUGAAACAUGAGAUGUGAACAUUGUUCAAGCUAAUAAAGAUAGUUUUGCAGCAGUUGACAUCUUCACCACUUCCAGAACCAGAUUGUCGUCUUUUCAUCGCCAUGCUAUGUGGCCUUGUCUACAGCAGAGUUGUGUCUUAGUAAAUGUUUCUAUUGCUGUGAUGAAAACCACAUCUAAAAAGUAAGUUGGAAAGCAAUGGGUUUAUUUGCCUUAUAUUUGCAUAUCACUGCUUCUAGAAAGUUAAGGCCUACCAGGCCUAGAAAGAGAACCAACAUGGAGUCUGUCAGUUGCUGUCUGUGGUCCUGAUCCUGCUCAGCCAAUGAAAGGAGAUUAGGCUAUCCUGCCUGAGGUCCUAGCAACAGGCACUGUUCAAGGUCCUGAUCGCCUAGCCAAUGAAGGGCGAUUAAGUAAGGUCAAUGGACCAGAGUGUCUGGGCAUUGGGAAAGUAAGUUUCUUCUCAUUGCUAAAUAAAGGAGUCUGCUACUUUUCCUUUCUCAGGACUCCCAAGGUCGGUGUCAUUGACUUUGUGCCUUCUCACCCCUCCCCAAAGGGAGCCAUGAAUUCUUCUCACCCCUCCCCAAAGGGAGCCAUGAGGACCCAGAAACAACUGCUCAUCAUUGAAGAAAGUCAAUACAGGAAUUCAAACAGGGCAGGGAACUGGAGGGAAGAGCAGAUGCAGAGGCCAUGCUAUUUACUGGCUUCCUCCACAUGGCUUGCUCAGCCUGCUUUCUUACAGAACUCAGGGCCACCAGCCCAGGAAGGCCCUACCCACAAUGAGUCAGGCCUUCCUCCAUCAAUAAUUAACUAAGAAACUGUUAUACAUUCAUUAAUUGGGUUUCCCUCCUCUAAGAUGAUUUUGGUUGGUGUCAAAUUAACAUAAUAAAACUAUCCAUCACAGGUUGUUUCCCUCCUAUUGAGCUCUUGAACGUAUUCAAAUAUGGUGGAUAUUGUCUUUUUAUCAGAUUUGUUUUAGCUAAAUAUUUUCUCAUAGCGUAUGGGCUGUUUUUCACUAUUUAUCUAUUGUUAUACUCUCAGCAUUUUAUUUUGAAGGAUUAAUGUCCAGUUCAAUUUUGGCAAAUGAGUUUACAGUGGGGACAAGAUAAUCUCUUCAACAAAUAGUAGGAGGAAACGCAGGUUAGUAUCUCUACACAGAAAAAUGAGAUUAGAUCUUCACCCUCAUCACAUACAAAAUAAAAAACUAAAACAACAACAACAAAAGCUAUCAAAAGUGAAUAAGAAACACAUGUAAGUAAGCCUUGAGUUACUGAAGAAAAAGUAAAGAAGAAUUUGAGUAACAUUUAUCUGUAUAUUGAUUUUAUUAUUAGAAACUAUGUUAGAAUGGUAGAACUGUAGCUAACUUAUCUGAUAAAACAAUCACAAAGUGCUGAGUUAUAUAAAAGUACAGUAUGCUAAAUUUCUAAAUAUAUUUUUCUGGAGCAAUUGAAAAAUUGAAUUCAGAGAAUAAAAUUAUUUGCCUGCAUGAGGAGUAGAACAUAAUUCUAAGUAAAAAGAAUCAGCAUGUGGAAUGUUAGUCAAGAAAACAAAAUUAGUGGAAGAAGUAUUUAUUAUGAUUUUUAUAAUUAAUACAAUAUUAUUAUUGUUUUGCUUAUAACUCCCAUUUUUAUAUUUUCUGAAUUAUUGUUUCAUUUCCUUGCUAAAAUGGUGAUUAAGCACAUAUGGUAAAUUUAUCAGUAUUUUAAGCUGUUAUGUAAAUGCUGAUAAUAAUUAUAUUCUUCACUCUGUGUAUGCAUAAAAUGAAUGAAUUACA